rnacentral:rRNA from 1 species
GACGAACGCUGGCGGCGUGCUUAACACAUGCAAGUCGAACGAUGAACCCGGAGCUUGCUCCGGCGGAUUAGUGGCGAACGGGUGAGUAACACGUGAGUAACCUGCCCUUGACUCUGGGAUAACUGCUAGAAAUGGUAGCUAAUACCGGAUACGACCCUCGGCGGCAUCGCAAGUGGGUGGAAAGAAUUAUGGUCAAGGGUGGACGCGCGGCCUAGCAGCUAGUUGGUGAGGUAACGGAUCACCAAGGCGACGACGGGUAGCCGGCCUGAGAGGGUGACCGGCCACACUGGGACUGGGACACGGCCCAGACUCCUACGGGAGGCAGCAGGGGGGAAUAUUGCACAAUGGGCGCAAGCCUGAUAGAGCAUCGCCGCGUGGGAGAUGUCGGCCUUCGGGUUGUAAACCGCUUUUAGGAGGGAAGAAGCGAAAGUGACGGUACCUGCAGAAAAAGCACCGGCUAACUACGUGCCAGCCGCCGCCGUAA